GCAAGUUUUUAAGGGCGCACGGUGGAUGCCUUGGCAUCAGGAGCCGAUGAAGGACGCGGUAAUCUGCGAUAAGCCUCGGGGAGCUGAUAAACGAGCUGUGAUCCGAGGGUCUCCGAAUGGGGAAACCCCACUACGUGUUAUGCGUGGUGACCCGCACCUGAAUUCAUAGGGUGUGUGGAGGGAACGUGGGGAAGUGAAACAUCUCAGUACCCACAGGAAGAGAAAACAACAGUGAUUCCGUCAGUAGUGGCGAGCGAACGCGGAAGAGGCCAAACCGAUGGUGUGUGAUACCCGGCAGGGGUUGCAUCAUCGGGGUCGUGGGGCGUGUCGUCCCGGGUCUGCCGGCCCGGGCGUGUGAGUGCAGGGCGAUAGUCGAACCGGUGUGAGUGCCGGACCGGAGAGGGUGAGAGUCCCGUAGACGAAAUCGUUGCUGCCGCACGGUACGCGUACCCAAGUAGCACGGGGCCCGAGAAAUCCCGUGUGAAUCUGCCAGGACCACCUGGUAAGCCUAAAUACUACCUGAUGACCGAUAGCGGACUAGUACCGUGAGGGAAAGGUGAAAAGUACCCCGGGAGGGGAGUGAAAUAGUACCUGAAACCGUGUGCCUACAAACCGUCGGAGCCCUACAAGGUGACGGCGUGCCUUUUGAAGAAUGAGCCUGCGAGUUAGUGUUACGUCGCGAGGUUAACCCGUGAGGGGUAUCCGUAGCGAAAGCGAGUCUGAACAGGGCGAGUGAGUGGCGUGAUCUAGACCCGAAGCGAAGUGAUCUACCCAUGGCCAGGUUGAAGCGCGUGUAAGAGCGCGUGGAGGACCGAACCCACUUCAGUUGAAAAUGGAGGGGAUGAGCUGUGGGUAGGGGUGAAAGGCCAAUCAAACUGAGAGAUAGCUCGUACUCCCCGAAAUGCAUUUAGGUGCAGCGUUACGUGUUUCUUGCCGGAGGUAGAGCUACUGGAUGGCCGAUGGGCCCUACAAGGUUACUGACGUCAGCCAAACUCCGAAUGCCGGUAAGUGAGAGCGUAGCAGUGAGACUGUGGGGGAUAAGCUUCAUAGUCGAGAGGGAAACAGCCCAGACCACCAACUAAGGCCCCUAAGCGUGUGCUAAGUGGGAAAGGAUGUGGAGUUGCUUAGACAACCAGGAGGUUGGCUUAGAAGCAGCCACCCUUGAAAGAGUGCGUAAUAGCUCACUGGUCAAGUGAUUCUGCGCCGACAAUUUAGCGGGGCUCAAGCAAUCCGCCGAAGCUGUGUCAUUCACAUAUUAACCCGACUCCAUCUUUAUGGUGUGGUCCAGGUGUGUGGAUGGGUAGGGGAGCGUCGUGUGCGCGAGGAAGCGGCGGGGGGACCCAGCCGUGG
rnacentral:rRNA from 1 species